GGCGAACGCUGGCGGCAGGCCUAACACAUGCAAGUCGAGCGCCCCGCAAGGGGAGCGGCAGACGGGAGAGUAACACGUGGGAACGUACCCUUCAGUUCGGAACAACCCAGGGAAACUUGGGCUAAUACCGAAUACGUCCGUAAGGAGAAAGAUUUAUCGCUGAAGGAUCGGCCCGCGUCCGAUUAGCUAGUUGGUGAGGUAACGGCUCACCAAGGCGACGAUCGGUAGCUGGUCUGAGAGGAUGAUCAGCCUCACUGGGACUGAGACACGGCCCAGACUCCUACGGGAGGCAGCAGUGGGGAAUAUUGGACAAUGGGCGCAAGCCUGAUCCAGCCAUGCCGCGUGGAUGAUGAAGGCCCUAGGGUUGUAAAGUCCUUUCGGCGGGGAAGAUAAUGACGGUACCCGCAGAAGAAGCCCCGGCUAACUUCGUGCCAGCAGCCGCAGUAA
rnacentral:rRNA from 1 species